rnacentral:ribozyme from 13 species
AAGAAAGAAAGAAAGAAAGAAAGAGAAAAACGAACACAACAAGAAGCACG